AUUGGCUGGUGGUGGCACUCGGGUGUCCCCAAAGUCCCCAACGUCCUUUGGGUGGUGGUGGCACUCAGGUGUCCCCAGUGUCCGUUGGGUGGAGGUGGCACUCAGGUGUCUCCAGUGUCCCCAGUGUCCAUUGGGUGGUGGUGGCACUCAGGCAUCCCCAAUGUCCCCAACGUCCAUUGGGUGGUGGUGGCACUUGUGUGACCCCAGUGUCCCCAACGUCCAUUGGGUGGUGGUGGCACUCAGGUGUCCCCAGUGU
rnacentral:lncRNA from 1 species